UGGAGUUUUCUCAGUGAGCCCAGGACAAAGAUGCCCUUCCGCUGCUUUUUGCUGUUGGAGAUGAGGGUGGCAGUGGCCUUCACACCAAGCAUGGAAGGUCCAAUCUGUAUUCAUGGCUGACAUUUGGGAGAGGGAAGAGAGAGAGAGAGAGAAAGGUUCCACCUCUCCAGUGAUACUCCCAGGAAGCCAGUGAGAGCUGAGAUUUCAUCUGCAUGGAAAUUACGGUAGAGAAAGGGCCAGGAGCAGCCACCGGGUCUGGCUGUGCUCCAUUGGGGAGAGGCUGGAAAGAAGAGGAUGCUUUAGCCCUUGACUGCCACUUAUUCCAGCACUGGAGAAAAUAAAAAUAAAAAUGCUGAAACGAUUAAUAAAAAAAAAUAUACUAAACCAUGGCAGAAGACUGCCUGGGAGGUCGGGCUUUUUGUAUUAACUCAGCAGAUCAUUUAUUUAUUUAU